UGGCGGACGGGUGAGUAAUGUCUGGGAAACUGCCUGAUGGAGGGGGAUAACUACUGGAAACGGUAGCUAAUACCGCAUAACGUCGCAAGACCAAAGAGGGGGACCUUCGGGCCUCUUGCCAUCGGAUGUGCCCAGAUGGGAUUAGCUAGUAGGUGGGGUAACGGCUCACCUAGGCGACGAUCCCUAGCUGGUCUGAGAGGAUGACCAGCCACACUGGAACUGAGACACGGUCCAGAUCCUACGGGAGGCAGCAUG
rnacentral:rRNA from 1 species